CGGACAACUUCCUCGUCAUUGGUCGGAAAGGAAAAGGCGGAAACGUACAGUGAAUGUUCUUGACUUCGUGUGGCGCUGGACCUGUACAAAGAUGGCCGAUAGGGAAGACAGAAAUGAAAAAAAGAGAGAAACUGUAAAAAUACAAACCAGUGAAAGAAGAAACUCACGAAACUCAUGAACUUGAUGAGAUUGUGGUUGACAAAGGGAAUGCUGUACUAAGUGGAAUUGCUAGCGUUUCUAAGUAACAAACACAACAGCAAAUCAACCAGCCAGCAUACAUUCCCUCCCAUGUGAAGGGAUAUUUUUGCUGCCACAGAUUGAGGUUGGGAUAAUUGAAGGAUGUCAGCUGACUUACAACAAUAUCAAGCCACUUAUGAACGUUACAUUUGGACACCAGACUCUGCAUACAAGAAUAUGCUCAAUUGUUCAGAUACUGACCUUAGACAUGCACCAAUCAAUUUCAGAUUUUUCAGACUGAAACCUCAGGACAACAUGAAGAUGUAGAAAAUAAUCUGCUGUUUCCAAGUGAAGUAGCCUAUUGCAUUUCGCCAUCUGCAAAUUUUUUCACAAAACUGCAGCAAAAAUUUGCCUCGGAAAAAUUAGCUGCAGAGACAAAAAGUCACCAUAAGAAAAAAAUGCCCAAUGACUUUAAUGUAUUUCAAGUAAGAAUAAUUGUCUUGCAUGUAAAAAAUUGUUGUGUGUAAAUUGACGGCCACUGACUUCAAUGCAUUUACCUAAAUUUUUGGCAUUUCACAAAUUUGUUUUGAUAAUUUUUCAGCAAAGCAAAACGGACAGAUUCGCUCAUCUUUAGUUAUGUAUAUUUUACCUUUCUUGUAUUUCAAACCUUACUUUUUUAAGCAUGAAAAAGUUAUGUGAACCCUUACCACUAUAAUCACUGAAAUCUCUAUUAUAUUAUAUAAUAUAUUUUUAAUAUAUUAUCUCCUCACUUGGUGGGUUUUCUUCAUAAGUAUCCAACUGUGACUUUAAAGAUUCUAUAUCCCACAUACUUUAAGCAAUUUUUCCUAAUUAUUAAACAUUGAAUCAGUUUACAUGAACAUUGAUUGGGAAUAUACUGAUACUUCUUCUGACGUACAUCAUUCCCUAAUGUCACAUGCUUUGUUCAUACAAACAAGCAUUUUAACUAAAUUGUAAAGCUAUUGGCCAUAAUAAAAAAUAAAAAGGAUACUCAAAUUCAUAUACUGUAUACUAAAACAACAAACCAAUAAAUGUGCAGUAAAUCAAUAAACAACCUAUAUAAAUGAAUGACUUUUAAAUAUACCUACUUAUAUCUACUACUUAGUAACCACUACUUAGUAACCGCUACUUAGUAACCGCUAUUACAUAAUAGAGUCAACCUUUUUGACUAAAAUUUAUAUCUGUCUUGGUUCAGUUUCAUAAAUAUCUUAAAUAAUUCAUAUAAUGUACAUGUUGUAAAGAAUCCAAGUUGGCAAAUUGAGUAUAAAUGUUAGAAUAGAAUAGCACAAAGCAGGGUUUUUUUAAUGCAGGAAUUUUAGUAAUUUGCAAUUAGAAACACCAUGUACUGAUUAUCAGGUCAAUAGAGAUUAUAUGAUGUUUCUAAUUGCACCAAUCUGUGUGUGCGUCGAUCUAAAUGCCAAUAAACAUCUUGAUUAAAUAAAUAAAUAAAUGCACCAUAUUACUUAGUAGUCACUAUUACAUAUAGAAUCCAUUUAAACUGAUUGAAUGUUUAAUUAGACAUUGGGAAAGAAAAGUUGCUUAAAGAAAUACUGACGUGUUCAUAUAUAAAUCCAUAGGAACGUACAGUGUCGUACUGGGACAUCAGGGGCCCACCAAAAAAACCUAGGCCAGGGGCCCAAACCCAGCGCUAUUAUUCUUCCCCUCCUCACUCAACCUCUAUUUGCCUAUUCUGUUUUCUUUACAUACUAUAAUCUAUUAUUCCAUCUUUUUAGACUUGUUGUUCUCAUAGAAGUAGGAAAUGGCCAUGAAAUAGGCCAAAUGUUUAGCAGCAUGAUGGACCACUGACACCUGGGCCCACCGGGAGUUUUCCCGGUAUCCUGGUGGGCCAGUCCGACACUGGGAACGUAUCUGUAUUAGUUAAUAGAUGCGGCACCAAAAAUCUUUGCAACCAAAAGCCUCUCAAAGCCUUCCCUAGUCCAGCAAUACUUACUAAUGAUGGGCGAAUUUAUUCGCCAGGCACAAAUUUGCGGCGAAUUCCCGCGAUUCGCCACCAACGAAUAAAUUUGUGAAACCGAUGCGAAAAUUCACCAGUGAAUGUGAGCCGGCGUCAGUGUCAAAAACUAGACGCCUGCGCCGAAAUUCGCCCAUCACUAAUACUUAAUACUUAAUAAUCGGAAAUAGCUAAAUGCUUUUCCACAGUCGUUUCAGUAACAUUGGGCUGGGGGUUUUCAUAGGAACUUAUCAGUAUCCGUUUAAGAAAGUAGAAUCUUUUAAUUCUCAGUUGGAUAAAGUUAAAGAACAUCCAUAGUUUAAAGAAUUGGAUGAACUUGUAAAUAAAACUGGAUUGAUAUUGAAGGAUACUAAGAGAGAUUGUUGAAAGAAAAGAUUGUAAAUACAAGAGGUUUAACUAUUGUAUUUAGUAAUCUCUUCUACCAGCAGAGUGUGCUAUUGCUUUGUGUUUUUAUUUCUCCUAACAAAGGCAGUGGUAAGUCUAACAGUGAGACAACAGAUGAUAAGGCUUUAUCUACUGCCAACAGAGCUUGUGCUGUAGACUUAACUAGGAGACAGUUUCAAGGGGAAGCAUCUCAUGUUCAUAGGCAGGCUUUAAGAAUUCCAUGAGAUUUUGGAGAAAUUGGGCUGAUUAUAUAACCAUAUAAAACUACAACAAUGGACAUGACUGCAUCCACAAAAAACACUAUACAAAGAUGACUUGUGCCUUAUCAAUCAAUGCUUAAUGUCAGUUUUGUUUUGCCUAGACAUUAUUGCAACUAUUUUGAAUGAGGUGCACUGUACAUAACUUUAGACACAAGGGAACCAUGUAUGUUACACCUGAUAACCCAUAAUUUCCUCAGUUCCUAUAGUAGUCUAUGUCACAUUCAACCUAUGUUGUGCCAACUGAGUAGGUUAAAAAUGCAGAUAUAAGUUUUUUAUUUUUUCAGUCUAGCUGUUGGGGUAAAAUGUUGCUGUUCACUCAAAGAGACUGAAUAAAGUUCUUAGUUUAUGAA